GACGAACGCUGGCGGCGUGCCUAAUACAUGCAAGUAGGACGCACAGUCUAUACCGUAGCUUGCUACACCAUAGGCUGUGAGUUGCGAACGGGUGAGUAACGCGUAGGUAACCUGCCUAUUAGAGGGGGAUAACUAUUGGAAACGAUAGCUAAUACCGCAUAACAGUAUGUAACACAUGUUAGAUGCUUGAAAGAUGCAAUUGCAUCGCUAGUAGAUGGACCUGCGUUGUAUUAGCUAGUAGGUAGGGUAAUGGCCUACCUAGGCGACGAUACAUAGCCGACCUGAGAGGGUGAUCGGCCACACUGGGACUGAGACACGGCCCAGACUCCUACGGUAGGCAGCAGUAGGGAAUCUUCGGCAAUGGGGGGAACCCUGACCGAGCAACGCCGCGUGAGUGAAGAAGGUUUUCGGAUCGUAAAGCUCUGUUGUUAAGGAAGAACGAGUGUGAGAAUGGAAAGUUCAUACUGUGACGGUACUUAACCAGAAAGGGACGGCUAACUACGUG
rnacentral:rRNA from 1 species